rnacentral:rRNA from 1 species
CGGAUUGUAGUCUGCAACUCGACUACAUGAAGCUGGAAUCGCUAGUAAUCGCGAAUCAGAAUGUCGCGGUGAAUACGUUCCCGGGUCUUGUACACACCGCCCGUCACACCAUGGGAGUCGGAAAUGCCCGAAGUCAGUGACCUAACCGAGAGGGAGGAGCUGCCGAAGGUGGAGCCGGUAACUGGGGUGAAGUCGUAACAAGGUAAC